CUGCCUGUGUGGGACUGAGAUGCAGGAUUUCUUCACACCUCUCCUUUGUGACUUCAAGAGCCUCUGGCAUCUCUUUCUGCAAAGGCAUCU
rnacentral:miRNA from 1 species